rnacentral:tRNA from 1 species
GGAAGAGUGGCAGAGUGGCCGAUUGCGUCUGUCUUGAAAACAGAAGUUGGGGUGACUCAACCGUGGGUUCGAAUCCUACCUCUUCCG